rnacentral:rRNA from 1 species
GUCUAUGGCCAUACCACCCUGAACGCGCCCAAUCUCAUCUGAUCUCGGAAGCUAAGCAGGGUCGGGCCUGGUUAGUACUUGGAUGAGAGAAGGGGAAAGGAAAGGGAGAAAAGUAUGGAAU